rnacentral:rRNA from 1 species
UGGGGAAUCUUGCGCAAUGGCCGAAAGGCUGACGCAGCGACGCCGCGUGGAGGAUGACGCCCUUCGGGGUGUAAACUCCUGUUGCCCGGGACGAAUACCCGUUUCGACGGGGGUGACGGUACCGGGUGAGGAAGCACCGGCUAACUCUGUGCCAGCAGCCGCGGUAAUACAGAGGGUGCGAGCGUUGUCCGGAAUCACUGGGCGUAAAGGGCGCGUAGGCGGCUGGGUAAGCGUGUGGUGAAAGCCCGGGGCUCAACCCCGGGUCGGCCAUGCGAACUGUCCAGCUGGAGCACGGUAGAGNCACAUGGAAUUCCGGGUGUAGCGGUGGAAUGCGUAGAGAUCCGGAAGAACACCGGUGGCGAAGGCGGUGUGCUGGGCCGUGGCUGACGCUGAGGCGCGACAGCGUGGGGAGCAAACA